GCUUUCAAGGCUUCCUUGUGUGUGGUAUUUUCUGUGUGUGAUAAUAGAUUUCAUUCCCAUAAUUCUUCAGUGAUGGAAAAAAGCAGAAUGAAGUGAAACGUAUUUUAAAAUAUUUCUGAUGAUAUCAAGAAGAAGAAAUUCAUCUAGCGAGGGAGCUGGGCUUUCAAGAGCUCCCCAGAGGGAGAGCAAACCUAUUUUGCUUUAAAAGCACCGGUACAUCCUUGUUGGCGGGCACCACAUGCAACUCAAUGGCUAAGAGUCAAGGGGGAAGUUGUGGACAUCAGAAGUCUGCCUGAGUCUUUUUGGGCGAAUAGAGGUGUCAUGAGAGCUACAUUCCUUCUGGAGGCUCCAGGUUUCUCCAAGAACGGAUUCAGGCCAUCUCUCGAGAUCAGGUCAAGACCAUUCUUCUUCUCCAGAGCCUCACCUCAAGCUCAGAAAAAGGAGACUGUGGGCCCUAGGACGGUUCUCCAUUCCAGACCCAAAACCGUCGCCCCUAUCCAGCAGGAAGUAGCCAGAGAGAUAUGGCGCCCUUUUCCCCAUUUUUUUUUAUGAUUUCAGGGUCUGAAAUGAAGGAGUCUUUUGUGACUAGAAAAGAGAGCAACAGUCUCAAAGGCCCCUUGCUGAAUCAUCUAACUUCGGAGAA